GGCGAACGGGUGAGUAACACGUUGGGUAAUCUCCCCCCGAGUGAGGGAUAAGCUUGCGAAAGCGGGUCUAAUACCGCAUGAAACUCCGGGACGUCGGUCUUCGGAGUCAAGGCCGUAAGGCGCUUGGGGAUGAGCCUGCGUCCUAUUAGCUAGUUGGUAGGGUAAUGGCCUACCAAGGCGAUGAUGGGUAGCCGGCCUGAGAGGGUGAACGGCCACACUGGAACUGAGACACGGUCCAGACUCCUACGGGAGGCAGCAGUGAGGAA
rnacentral:rRNA from 1 species